GUCCAGCUGACGAGUCCCAAAUAAGGCGAUACACUUGUCCGAGAU
rfam:Schistosoma haematobium scaffold172_15, whole genome shotgun sequence.